UACGAAGGGGGCUAGCGUUGCUCGGAAUCACUGGGCGUAAAGCGCACGUAGGCGGGUCCUUAAGUCAGGGGUGAAAUCCUGGAGCUCAACUCCAGAACUGCCUUUGAUACUGAGGAUCUCGAGUUCGGGAGAGGUGAGUGGAACUGCGAGUGUAGAGGUGAAAUUCGUAGAUAUUCGCAAGAACACCAGUGGCGAAGGCGGUUACCUGGGGCUUUGGCUGACGCUGAGGCGCGAAAGCGUGGGGAGCAACAGG
rnacentral:rRNA from 1 species